rnacentral:rRNA from 1 species
UAUCUCUGUAGAGUCUGCAUAUCAAUAAGCGGAGGAAAAGAAACUAACUAAGGAUUCCCUUAGUAACGGCGAGUGAAGCGGGAAGAGCUCAAAUUUGAAAUCUUCAAGGUUCUACCUUGACGAAUUGUAGUUUAAAGAAGUGUUUUCUGUUGGAGUUUUGGUAAAAGUUCUUUGGAAUAGGACAUCAUAGAGGGUGAGAAUCCCGUAUUUGACCAUUUCUUCCAGCUGUGUGAUACACUUUCAAAGAGUCGGAUUGUUUGGGAAUGCAGUCCAAAAUGGGUGGUAAAUUUCAUCUAAAGCUAAAUAUUGGCGAGAGACCGAUAGCGAACAAGUACCGUGAGGGAAAGAUGAAAAGAACUUUGAAAAGAGAGUUAAACAGUACGUGAAAUUGUCAAAAGGGAAGCGUUUGACACCAGUGUUGUUUUCUCGAAAAUCAAUUAAAAAUGGCCGGAUUUUGUGUUGUAUUGACUUUAUCAGCUUUCUGCACUUUUUUCUUGUCUUUUUUAAUGCACUUUUCGUUUAACAAGUCAACAUCAAUUUCUUUUGUUGUAAAAGAGUCAUUGGAAGGUGGCUUUCACUUCGGUGAAAGUGUUUAUAGCCUUUGACUUCUGCAAUCGGAGAGAUUGAGGUCUGCAGCGUAGAUCCUUCGGGGUUAGAUACAUUUGUGCUAAGUUAUAGUUUUUCAUAGACAACAUGUUGACUAUGAUUAAUCAUGUAGCUUACUCGCUUAUGCUAUUUUACCUACGCUUAGGAUGUUGAGUAGCGACAUACGCAC